GUUAAUAAUGUAAGAAACUCAAUCAAUUUUAAGAUCAACUUUGCUGUGUCUCUUUUAGAUUUCAGAUUAAAUUUUGUUUAAUUUGUCUCUGAAAACAAAUUCCAGAGGGAAAGAAGAAGAUUCCAGACCCAUGGGAAAGCACAAAGGCUCUUAAGAAAGCUGAAGAAUCUCGGCUUCACAGCAGGAAGAUUGUUAUGUCUCAGUGAUCGAUAUUAAAACCAGAAAAGGCAGACAUCCAGUACUUUUGUGUUAAGUACUUCUUCUAACACUGGCAUACAUUGUCUUUGUUUAAUUUUACUUGUUUAGCUCACAUUUUACAGCUGCUCUCUCUCUCUCUCUCUCUCUCUCUCUCUCCUGUUCUUUCAGCAAAGAGACCACCGCGGUGAAGACUCCAAUAAAAUAUCCAGCACUUUAUGUCCUUCUUCAUUCCUUCUGUCCUGCUCUAUAUAUCACAGAGAUGUAGAAGGUACCAAGGGAACAUAAUGAACUAAACAGGAGGACACCAGGCUCUUGCGAACGAACUCGCCCAUGCAGUCUACGAUGGUGUGGACCAUGGCAGGGUAGCCAUGCCGAACACAGUCCACUGCCAAUGCUCCGGCUACUGCAUACAGAGAGACCACCUUACCCCACGUC